GUGCCAGCAGCCGCGGUAAUACCGGCAGCCCGAGUGAUGGCCGAUCUUAUUGGGCCUAAAGCGUCCGUAGCUGGCUGCGCAAGUCCGUCGGGAAAUCCACUCGCCCAACGAGUGGGCGUCCGGCGGAAACUGCACAGCUUGGGACCGGAAGGCUCGAAGGGUACGUUCGGGGUAGGAGUGAAAUCCCAUAAUCCCGCACGGACCACCGAUGGCGAAAGCACUUCGAGAAAACGGAUCCGACGGUGAGGAACGAAAGCCAGGGGAGCAAAGCGGAUUAGAAACCCUAGUAGUCC
rnacentral:rRNA from 1 species